rnacentral:rRNA from 1 species
UACGAAGGUGGCAAGCGUUGUUCGGAUUUACUGGGCGUAAAGGGAGCGUAGGUGGUUAGGUAAGCCCUCCGGGAAAUCUUCAGGCUUAACCUGAAAAGGUCGGGGGGGGACUGCCUAGCUAGAGGGCGGGAGAGGAGCGCGGAAUUCCCGGUGUAGCGGUGAAAUGCGCAGAUAUCGGGAAGAACACCCGUGGCGAAGGCGGCACUCUGGGACGGUACUGACGCUGAGACGCGAAAGCGUGGGGAGCGAACAGG